UACGUAGGUGGCAAGCGUUGUCCGGAAUUAUUGGGCGUAAAGCGCGCGCAGGCGGUCCUUUAAGUCUGAUGUGAAAGCCCACGGCUCAACCGUGGAGGGUCAUUGGAAACUGGGGGACUUGAGUGCAGGAGAGAAGAGUGGAAUUCCACGUGUAGCGGUGAAAUGCGCAGAUAUCAGGAGGAACACCGGCGGCGAAGGCGGCACUCUGGGCCGGUACUGGCGCUGAGGAGCGAAAGCGUGGGUAGCAAACAGG
rnacentral:rRNA from 1 species